rnacentral:rRNA from 1 species
UUAGUGGCGAACGGGUGAGUAACACGUGAGUAACCUGCCCCUUACUUUCCUGGAUAACUGCUCGAAAGGGUAGCUAAUACGGGAUAUUCUGACUAGCCUGCAUGGGUUGGUUUGGAAAGGUUGUUUUUCUGGUAAGGGAUGGGCUCGCGGCCUAUCAGCUUGUUGGUGGGGUGAUGGCCUACCAAGGCUUUGACGGGUAGCCGGCCUGAGAGGGUGGACGGUCACACUGGGACUGAGAUACGGCCCAG